UACACGCAGCAUGGAGCCCAGUGUGAGGCUUGAACUCAUGACCUGAGAUCAAGACCUGACAUCAAGAGUUGGACACUUAACCAACUGAACUAUCCAGUGUUCAGUUCUACCACCUCAAGCAAACCAAUAUAGCAAGGAGGAAAUUUCUACUAUAUAAUAGAUUUGGAGGCAUCUCCAGAGGUCCCUUUCCAACAGAAGCCAAAGCAGAUUUUUUUGUCCAAGACAGGCACGAGGACUUACGUUUGAGGGGUAUGGAGGCCUUGUUUAUUGAGAUCCUGAGACCUUAACUCCUGCAUGGAGAGUCGGCCAGCACCACCGGUGGAAACUGAACUGCGCUUCAUGCUUACCACCUGCUUUCAUGAAUGAAUUCAGUAUUAAAAAAUCUUUCCAGAUACAGAUGCUUCAGUAAACACCAGCUGUUAUCUUCAUCCCCAAACAGAAAGCAACCGAGCAUUGUUUCUUCAAGGUAAUCUUUCCCUGGACCCUCUUGUUCAUAUAACGUGAAGCCCUCAUUUGCAGGGAAUGUGUAUUUAACUUCUUUUAAAAAUAUUCAACACACACGAAUAUUUACUAAC